rnacentral:rRNA from 1 species
UACGUAGGGUGCAAGCGUUGUCCGGAAUUAUUGGGCGUAAAGAGCGUGUAGGCGGCCCGACCAGUCCGCUGUGAAAGUCCAGGGCUCAACCCUGGAAUGCCGGUGGAUACUGUCGGGCUAGAGUCCGGAAGGGGCGAGUGGAAUUCCUGGUGUAGCGGUGAAAUGCGCAGAUAUCAGGAGGAACACCAAUGGCGAAGGCAGCUCGCUGGGACGUGACUGACGCUGAGACGCGAAAGCUAGGGGAGCAAACGGG